rnacentral:lncRNA from 1 species
AAAAAAUAAAAUCUUAAAAAAAAUAACAUCCCCAUUCUUUCAGAUGAGGAAACUGAGCCUCAGAGAGCUUAAGUGACCUGCCUAAGGUCACACAGCUGAUAAAAGCUGGACCCAGGAUUUCAACCCAGGUCUGGCUCCAAAGCCCUUUCCACUCUACCCUGCUCAUGAAUGCACAAAGGACACACCCUUACUGAAAGGGCAGAGGGAAGGAGGGGAGAGUGUUUUCAGGGAAAACAUGAUAGAAACAAAAUGCUCGCCAUGGAGAGAGAGUAAUGAGUAAGGAGGCAGAAGGGAUAGGCCAGGGCCAGAUCGCGGGGGGCCUGAAAGUCACCUGAGGACUUUGCACUUCAUCACAGGCAAUGAGGAGUCGCUGCAAAAAGUGAAGAAGGGGUGGGACGUUAAAUUAGGCGUAGCCUAAGAGAAAGGGAGGUGGUGGUAAGAGCAGAGGGCAAGGGCUGUUGGAGUCAUAGCGCCCUGGAGCUGGAAGGGAUCCUGGAGCUCACCGUCGUCACUCAUCUGACACGUGAGAAAACUGUGGCGCAGAGAGGGGAAGUGAGUUGCUGAAAGGAUGCUUGCUGUGGGGCACUGCCCAGCUCUGCCUCGACCCUCAGCGCCGAAGCCCUCAGCUCCCCAGCUGUAGGGAGUGCUGCUGAUCGACAGUGCACAGCUGAGCCCCUCACCAGGAACGGCCCUUAGCUGAAGAGAGCCACUGCGCCCAAGGUCGUGCACCCAUCCCAGGUGGCAGCCUGCAUCCGUGACGGGUCAGUGCAGAAGCUAAAGCCCUGGCCCCUUUACCACAGUGUAGGACAACUCCGAGGGCCACGCUGGCUCCAGAGCUCCCCGUAGGAGGCUUUGCUGUGGCUGCAUGGCAGUUCCUCUUCCUCCUCUGCCCGGUCCUGCUUUCUUCACCCCCCAUGGGUGUGGAUCCUGAGAGUGCCCCCCAUCCAGGAGCUCGGGACAAGUGACCUUAGAGACUGGGUCAAAAGAUGCUGGGAGAACCCUGCCUCAUCCCCCCGGGAGCGCUCUGCAUGCAAGACCCAGGGUUUCACAACUGGCGCCCAUGCUGUGCCCACUGACACGCCCUGUUCACUGGAGUCCUCCCUCACCAUGUGCCAGCAGCUGCUGCAGCCCUGUUUGGUGGUGAACUGCAGUUUCCAGCAUUCUGACAGUCUUCCAUCUCAAGUAGCCUGUCUCUCUUCUCUGCCUGAGGCUUUCUUGGGCAAUGGAAGCUUGCUCUGCCUGAGCCAGGUGCAACCCGGAAGUGCAGGAUAGUAAACAUCAUUGGCGCUGACCUUCAACCAAUGGGGAUGGAAUAAAUAUCACACACUUCUCCUCCGAUGGGAUGAUUCUGAGGCAUGGUCCACAUGGUUUAUCAGAGAGUCUCCUGCAAGACUGAGUCCCAGCUGCCCACAAGAUAACUUGCUCGUUAACGUACUUGUUAGUAGCUUUUCUCCCUUCUUUGUCUCACUUUCCCCAUUUUCUUCUUGUGCUCCUGAGAUCACCUCCUAAAUAAACCACCUGUACCC